AUCCGGGUUGCGGACAGUGUCUGGUGGGUAGUUUGACUGGGGCGGUCUCCUCCUAAAGAGUAACGGAGGAGCACGAAGGUUAGCUAAUCCUGGUCGGACAUCAGGAGGUUAGUGCAAAGGCAUAAGCUAGCUUGACUGCGAGAGUGACGGCUCGAGCAGGUGCGAAAGCAGGUCUUAGUGAUCCGGUGGUUCUGAAUGGAAGGGCCAUCGCUCAACGGAUAAAAGGUACUCCGGGGAUAACAGGCUGAUACCGCCCAAGAGUUCAUAUCGACGGCGGUGUUUGGCACCUCGAUGUCGGCUCAUCACAUCCUGGGGCUGAAGUAGGUCCCAAGGGUAUGGCUGUUCGCCAUUUAAAGUGGUACGCGAGCUGGGUUUAGAACGUCGUGAGACAGUUCGGUCCCUAUCUGCCGUGGGCGCUGGAGAAUUGAGGGGGGCUGCUCCUAGUACGAGAGGACCGGAGUGGACGCAUCACUGGUGUUCGGGUUGUCAUGCCAAUGGCAUUGCCCGGUAGCUAAAUGCGGAAGAGAUAAGUGCUGAAAGCAUCUAAGCACGAAACUUGCC
rnacentral:rRNA from 1 species